AAGUUGCUAGUGAAUCAAAAUAGGUCUCACACGGCUUUACUAGACUUUGAUUUUGUAUUUUGAACAAGAAAAUGAGAUGAAUGACAAGUCAACUAUGCUAGUGAAUCGAAAGAGCCCCAUACGGCUUCACUAGACUUUAUUUUUUUCAACAACACCUUGAUGACAAAAUUACAUGAGAUAGAAAUUUAAUACGCAAUAUCCAAUGAACUAAGAAUACACAUCUUAUGCUGUAUAAAUAAAAUCAGAGUCAAAUACUUCCUCCACGGACUACCAUACCAUCCACACAUGCUACUAGUUACCACAUUAGUCUAUCACCAUAAGGGGGGUAAAUCAUUCUCGAACAUCGGUUAUUCAACUAAAAUAUUCAUUUACACAAAAGUCACCCUCACUCUGACUUCUAACUUUGUGACAUCACAUCAUCAACUUUUUGGUCUAAUUUCACUACCAAUAGGUCAUGAC
rnacentral:lncRNA from 1 species